rnacentral:hammerhead_ribozyme from 1 species
GCAUUGCUGACGAGUUCCAAACAGAACGAAACGGCUGUUUAGUGC